rnacentral:rRNA from 1 species
UCUUUAUAUUUGUAUUUAUAGUAUAUUAAUUAUAUAUAUAGAUAUUUAGUUGGGGUGAUUUAAAAAUUUAAAUAACUUUUUAUUUAUAUAAUCAAAAAUUUUUGAUUAAUUGAUCCUUUAUUAUAGAUUAAUAGAAUAAGU